GGUGUAGGCGGCUUGUUAAGUCGGAUGUGAAAUCUCCCGGCUAAACUGGGAGGGGUCAUUCGAUACUGGCAGGCUGGAGUGCAGCAGAGGAAAGCGGAAUUCCCGGUGUAGUGGUGAAAUGCGUAGAUAUCGGGAGGAACACUAGUGGCGAAGGCGGCUUUCUGGGCUGUUACUGACGCUGAGGUCCGAAGGCGUGGGGAGCAAACAGGAUCAGAUACCCUGGUAGUCCACGCAGUAAACUAUGGACACUAGGUAUGGGGGAGUAUCGACCCUCUCCGUGCCGAAGCUAACGCUUUAAGUGUCCCGCCUGGGGAGUACGGUCGCAAGACUAAA
rnacentral:rRNA from 1 species